rnacentral:rRNA from 1 species
UCCGUAGGUGGCAAGCGUUGUCCGGAAUUAUUGGGCGUAAAGCGCGCGUAGGUGGUUCCUUAAGUCUGAUGUGAAAGCCCCCGGCUCAACCGGGGAGGGUCAUUGGAGACUGGGGAACUUGAGUGCAGAAGAGGAUAGUGGAAUUCCAAGUGUAGCGGUGAAAUGCGUAGAGAUAUGGAGGAACACCAGUGGCGAAGGCGACUUUCUGGUCUGUAACUGACACUGAGGCGCGAAAGCGUGGGGAGCAAACAGG